GGACAGAACUGAGGACAUAACGCCUGAAGAAGAGAAACCCCAGGAACCCUUGAUAAUCUGAAAGCGACAAGCACACAAAAACAACAACAGCAAAAAAGUCCCACAAAAACCUAUAUGUGGUGAGGUAAUAAGUGCCAGUAACAUGACAUCAUGGAGAAGAUUCAUUCAUUCACUAAGUGUAUAGGCUGCCUACCCUCCACUCACAGAGAAAUAGAGAGUGAAACUAGAGGACUUCAAAGAGCUUUUGUAGUUCUGAGCAGCGAUGAUUCUACACUUUAAAAAAUCUGAGUGCUAAGCCAAAACUAAGUGAAUUGCCACUUUCUUGUAACACAAAUGUCUUAUAUGAUUUACAGAAAAACUAGUGAUUCAGAACAAGUUUUAUCCAAGCCCAUGGAUACACUCUGAGUCGAAUUUAUGGCUCAUGACUGGCAAUAUUAAUGGAAGCACUAAUAAAAGUUAUGAUAUGUAGCAAUAAAACAUCGAAGCAUGGAAUCAUAAAUCAUAUUCCAACAGGGUAAGGCAGGCCAUUUUUCCUUUGUGAUUUAAUACAGAGUAGAUUUUACACCAACCUUAGCUUUCCACAAGAGACCUAUAAACCUCAGCAUAGGCUAAAAACUGAGGCUAAACUAUGCUGUUUUAAAGAUAAAAAUGCCAAUGAACAUACAGAUACGAAAAAAAUCUGACAUUCUAGACUUACCAGUACAAAGUGGAAAUUGUUUAGUUACCACACUUGAUAGCAUAAGACCACAGCAGGUUGCUCAUUGGGUCCUUCUAAUUUAAGAUUCAAUAGGUUGACUUUCUCCCUUUCAGCUUUACCAGGAUUCUAGACUAAAGUCUGAUGAGGAAAUAAAAACUUAUAAUACUU